UAUUGGUAUCAAGGAUAGCUUAUCUUAUGAGGAGAUCCCUGUUCAGAUUCUAGACCACCAGGUUCGUAAGUUGAGAAUCAAGGAAGUAGCAUCAGUCAAAGUCCUUUGGAGGAAUUAGUUUGUUGAGGAAGCUACUUGGAAGCUGAGGAAGAUAUGAAGAAGAGAUAUCUACAUCUCUUUGAGCCCGGAGAAAUUUCAGACCAAGAUUACAUACUGUAAGGAAGGGGUACAAUCCAUAUUGAUACAACAAGACCCAAAAUCGAGGUCCAGGUAAGGAUUUUGAGUAACCCCUCUACUAGGAUUUGGGGUUCAACUAUGAGUUGGUAAGCUCCACUUCUUCCUGGAGCUUUCAUAGGAUGUUACUUUUAUUGUAUUGUUUGGGUAUAAUCGGGGCCUUGUCCCGACCAGUGCUUAUGUCACUCAUGGAGGCUAUUAUGGACACAGUAUUCUGGGUUUCUUUCUGCAGCUUCUAGUUUCUAGCCACAUAGGCUUGGCAUGUAUAGAUAUGUAUGUAUGUGUGUAUAUCUUCAUUGUAGCCUUGUCGGCUAGCAGGUACCUUACUAUCUUUGG